CAUUCUCUCAUUCUCUCUCUCUCUCUCUCUCCCUCUCUCAAGGAUUUAUUCUAUAAAUUCUCUUAUUCUCUUUCAUUCUCUCUCUCUCUCUCUCUCUCUCUCUCUCUCUCUCUCUCUCUCUCUCUCUCUCUCUCUCAUUUUUUCUCUCUCUCUCUCUAAGAUCCUUCGCCGUUCAUCAUCCGUUUCCAAAAACGGAGGGUACUGCGUGGAUCAGAAGAGGAAACUCUACACUUUUAGUGGAUCGGAUCGUCGUUUCGGAGAGUUUCGGGUUUUCCCAAGAAUCGAGGUUUUCAGGAUCUCGAGUUGUCGUUUUGGACCGUUUUCGUACGAAGUUUAUUUCGAAUAUAAGGUAAGGGGAAUUUGAUUACAACAGUUAUUUUGGAAAACUAAACCGCUAAAAAGCUAGUUUAUGUUAUUAUGUAUGAUUUAACUGCUUAUUUGUGAAAUUCUACCGAGUAGAAAUGCCGGUUUGACGAUUUUACGAUUUUUGGUAAAAACGAGGAUUUCGACGUAUGAUCUCCAAAUUUUACAAACAUCGUUAUUUGUGUUUAUACUAUAGUAGGAGAGGCUCGAUUCCUUUAUUUAUUUAGUUAAACUAUGUAUAUUGAAUUUCUAUCAUUUAGCGGGUUUUUGUAUUAAACUUGUGUGAUAUAUGUUGAAAUGAAAAUGAAUGUAUUUUCUAUACUACUGAUAUAGAAUAUGGGAAUGAAAUUUCAAUUUGUUAUACUGACAAUGUGAUAAACAGAGGCUGGUGAUACACCGAGCCGCAUCAGUAAACAAAGAGGGGUAAACUGAGUGGAAAGACGCCGGUUUGAACCCAAUGGAAUUAUUUCUAUACUAUUGAUAUAGAUUAUGGGAGAUAAAAUCAUAUUUGUAUAAAUUGAAUUUAUGAUACACGGAACCACAGCUUGAGAGUCCCGGGAGGGUUGAAAAAUACUUUCUUUGCAGAGUUGAAAUAAACUACUGUUAUAUGAUACGGCACGAUAUCGUAGCUAGAUGUACACGUGCAACCACACGUACUAAACGAUGUGGGUACCAAGAUGGUCGGCUAGCAGGGUGAAACCAUUGGCUGAUAUUGGGCCAAUGGAGGCAGUCGGAUCGUAUGUAGGUACUCGGCAGUGUCUGCACGAACAGGGCAUUGGACGAGUACCAGUGCACAACCCGAGCCACGGGGUAAAACUGGUUAUAGGGAUAUUUUGCUGUUGGUCAUCUGAUAAAUCAUUAAAUGGUCGAAAGACAGAUGUGGGAAUUUUGUAAUAUGAAUAAUGAUAUACCUGAUGCAUUACUGUAUUGAAAAUAUUUGAUUUAUAUUCCAGAUGUUGAAUGAAAAUAUGCAUGUAUGCAGUCACACACUGUUGUAACUCCUUCUUCCUUACUGAGAGGUGUCUCACCCUAUCUUACAACCUUUGUUUUCAGGUCCAUCCGUGCGUCGGUCUUAGUAGAUAAAAGGACUAGGGAGGUUAUUUUGGUUAGCUUACGUAAGCAUCUAAAUUUUUGUACUAAACUUGAUGAAAGUCCUUUUUGGAGGGUUGUAAUAUGACGAUUACUCUAAGUCCGAAUGUAUGUAAAUUAUGGAUGUAUUAGUGAACUCUGGUAUAAGGCUAGUAGUAAUCCCAAUGGAUGUUUAUGUUUU